GACGUAGGGUGCGAGCGUUGUCCGGAUUUAUUGGGCGUAAAGAGCUCGUAGGCGGCUCGUCGCGUCGACCGUGAAAACCCGCGGCUUAACUGCGGGCUUGCGGUUGAUACGGGCGGGCUAGAGUUCGGUAGGGGAGACUGGAAUUCCUGGGUGUAGCGGUGAAAUGCGCAGAUAUCAGGAGGAACACCGGUGGCGAAGGCGGGUCUCUGGGCCGAUACUGACGCUGAGGAGCGAAAGCGUGGGGAGCGAACAGG
rnacentral:rRNA from 1 species